UAAUUUAGGCCCGCUAAAAUAUAGCCUAACGGCAAAGCAGGCGGUUGGCUGCUUUGUUAACCACCGUUGUGAUUUCUUCUCCACUCUACUGAUCAUUUGUCUUCUAUUUUUCAGCAAAACCCUAGAAAAAUUUCUAAUUUUUGCAAAGUUAAUCUAUUAAUCAACACUCAAGUUCUAGGAGCUUUGGUUUACUGCACCAUUCGCAAAAAUAAAGGAGAAGAUAAUAGCAGAUCAGGCCAUUUGCAUAUGAUGCCUACAUUGUGUAUCCGAAGAAGAAGCUGGAGUAGAUGCAUCAUUGCAUAAUGAACUCACGAGUUAUGAUGUUGUUAAGUUAGAAGCAGACUGCUUUGACGGAGGAGCACUUUGAGCCUAUCAGGGAUGAUAGAUGAGUUUGAGCGAUGGUGCUACACCCUCAGAUUCUGAGGAUGAAAGCAGACUGGUUUUGAUAUUGCAGGCUGGUUGUAUGAAGGAUGAAAAGUUAGCAAAGGCGUUUCUUUUGCAGCUUCUCACUUGUCAAUGAGGACACUUCUCCUUUAGGAGAGAGAUCGAGUGGCUGCUUUGCUGGCCGAGCUAAUAUCAUCAUGUCUGCUUAAUUAAGGCUAAACCGGGAGGGUUGAUAACACAGAGUCGUCUAUCUAUAUAUUAUAUUAAAAGACAAGCGCCUCAAUGUGAGGAUGGCAAAUGUCACUCUCUCAUUGACUUAUCUUAAGUAUAAAAUAUAUCUAUAUAAUUACUGUUUACAUAUUCAAGCAUAGUUAUUUUUGUUAAACU